rnacentral:rRNA from 1 species
UACGUAGGGUGCGAGCGUUGUCCGGAAUUAUUGGGCGUAAAGGGCUCGUAGGCGGUUUGUCGCGUCGGGAGUGAAAUCCACUGGCUUAACUGGUGGCUUGCUUUCGAUACGGGCAGACUGGAGGUAUGCAGGGGAGAACGAAUUCCUGGUGUAGCGGUGAAAUGCGCAGAUAUCAGGAGGAACACCGGUGGCGAAGGCGGUUCUCUGGGCAUGUCCUGACGCUGAGGAGCGAAAGUGUGGGGAGCAAACAGG